UACAGAGGGGGCAAGCGUUGUUCGGAAUUACUGGGCGUAAAGGGCGCGUAGGCGGCCUUCUAAGUCGAACGUGAAAUCCCCGGGCUCAACCCGGGAACUGCGUCCGAUACUGGAAGGCUUGAAUCCGGGAGAGGGAUGUGGAAUUCCAGGUGUAGCGGUGAAAUGCGUAGAUAUCGAGAGGAACACCAGUGGCGCAAGCGGCUGACUGGCCGAGACCUGACGCUGAGACACGACGGCGUGGGGAGCAAACCGG
rnacentral:rRNA from 1 species